rnacentral:rRNA from 1 species
CCUACGGGUGGCAGCAGUGAGGAAUAUUGGUCAAUGGCCGGAAGGCUGAACCAGCCAUGCCGCGUGAGGGAAGACGGUCCUAUGGAUUGUAAACCUCUGUUGUCGGGGAGCAAAAAGGCCUCGUGAGGCCACAAGUGAGAGGACCCGAAGAAAAAGCAUCGGCUCACUCCGUGCCAGCAGCCGCGGUAAUACGGAGGCUGCGAGCGUGAUCCGGAUUGAUUGGGUUUAAAGGGUGCGUAGGCGGACUGGAAAGUCAGCGGGAAAAUCGAGAGGCUCAACCUCUUUCCGCCGUUGAAACUGUCGGUCUUGCGUGGGCGAGCAGUAUGCGGAAUGCGUGGUGUAGCGGU